AGCUCAAUUAGCGUAUAUUAAAGUUGUUGCAGUUAAAAAGCUCGUAGUUGGAUUUCGCUGCGGGCCAUUCGGUCGGCCGCGAGGCCUGCUACUGACUGGUCUGCUCUUCUUCUCAAAGACUGCGUGUGCUCUUCGUUGGGUGUGCAUAGGAUUUGGGACGUUUACUUUGAAAAAAUUAGAGUGUUCAAGUCAGGCGUCACUAGCUUGAACACAUGAGCAUGGAAUAAUGGAAUAGGACCUCGGUCCCUAUUUCGUUGGUUUUAUGGACCGAGGUAAUGAUUAAGAGGGAUAGUUGAGGGGAUCCGUAUUUCGCAGUCAGAGGUGAAAUUCUUGGAUCUGCGAAAAACGAACAAGUGCGAAAGCAUUUGCCAAGAGUGUUUUCAUUAAUCAAGAACGAAAG
rnacentral:rRNA from 1 species